rnacentral:ncRNA from 1 species
CGAUUGUUUAACAAAAACAUUUCUUUUUUAUAAAAUAAAAGUAUAGCCUGCCCACUGAAAAUUUAAGGGCCGCGGUAUUAUGACCGUGCAAAGGUAGCAUAAUCAUUAGCCUUUUAAUUAGAGGAUUGUAUGAAUGGUUGAACG